CUCUCUCUCUCUCUGCCGCUGUCCCUGCCCUCCCGGCUUGAGAAUCUUCAUCUCUCUCUCUCUGUCUUCCAUCCUCCGGCACGAAGCGAAGACCGCAGUUGUUGUACUGCUUGUCCAUCCUGCACAAUUAGAGCACCAAGUCCGGCUAGAUCUGGUCCUUUUACUUACUGCAAACAGAUUGAGCAAAAUCUUCAUCUAGGAAGCUGGUCCCUAAGCUUUGAGUUCAAUGCAGCAAUACAUAGUGCUGGAGGGGAUGAUGGUGUCAAGGUUGUCAAUGAUAAGGAUGGACCUUGUUCUGUUUCUACUGCCAAUGGAAAUGUUAACUCCCCACCACGAGAUUGGUUGGAUCCGUCAUUACAGAUGAAUGUUCCUCUAGUUGACGUGGACAAGUCGCAGCUCUGUAGGGCCUUUACAUCUCCCUGAAGUUCCCACCCCAACUCACUGGAUGGAAUUUUGUCGGUGGUGACCCCUGUGGAGAGAGCUGGAAAGGAAUCAAAUGCUCUGGAGAUGCCAUCCAAUCCAACUAAAUCCUUGGAAUGGAUUGAGUUUCAUAGUAUCCCUUUGUCUUAGUGUUGCACAUUUUAUUUCCUCUUACUUUUGUAUGGUUCUUUGUCAUCUCACUCACUGAUCCACAUUUUAUUCUGUUUCAGUGGCAUUUCCUCAGGUAGGGUUGCUUAGGCAAUGUGUCUGAACUUUGAAUGAUCUCCAGCUUAUCUUGUUUUGAAUACCCAGCAUGCUUGCUCACUUUUUAUCCUUUUUUUUUUUUCAUGGGAAAGUCUGAUUUCACUUUUAUGCAUUUAUGAUUUUCUUCUUUUUCUUUCUUUCCUUUCUUUCUUUUUAAUCUGUAGAAGGGAAAUGCUGCAGCUGCAUUUGCUGGAGGCUUGCUCCUGGAAUAAGUGGUACAAAUGACAGGUGCACCAUCCUUGUCUCCAAUCUGGAUACUGGCUGUGUUUCAGGGAUUCAAGCAUUUGAAAUGAUGGCAAUUGCUGCGGGUGACUGAUAUGGUGCUGGUGCCCACACAAACUACAGCACCAAGUCCUUGAGAGCCAACGGUGGAAUCGAUAUUAUCAUUAAGGCCAUUGAGAAGCUGCGCCUGCGCCACAAGGAGCACAUUUCUGCAUAUGGGGAGGGCAAAGAGCAAAGAUUAACAAGCCGCCAUGAAACCGCCGACAUCAACACAUUCUCAUGGGUUGCAAUCGACUGUACGGUGGAGAGUUGCAAUGAACCUGCCUGGGUUCUUUCCGACUAACCAAAGAAGUCAAACAAUUAACGCCUAAUAGAACACCUACAUGAGAAAUUUCUAAGCACCAUCGUCAACAAUUUCCUUGAAAAGUUUCCCACCCUUUAUAUAGAUGUGAAAAGUCAACAUUAGCUCUCAAACAGUUGAGGUUUGUACCCUACAGCAGUUCUCUUCUA